GACGAACGCUGGCGGCGUGGAUUAGGCAUGCAAGUCGAACGGUAUCAUCCUUUCGGGGGUGAGAGAGUGGCGAACUGGUGAGUAACACGUAGGUUAUCUACCCUCAAGACGGGGACAACCCAGGGAAACUUGGGCUAAUACCGGAUGUGAGCAACUUUUAGUUGUUUGAAAGGUGGCGUAAGCUGUCGCUUGGGGAUGAGCCUGCGUCCUAUUAGUUAGUUGGUGAGGUAACGGCUCACCUAGGCAAUGAUAGGUAGGCGGCCUUAACGGGUGGUCGCCCACACUGGGAUUGAGAUACGGCCCAGACUCCUACGGGAGGCAGCAGUCGAGAAUAGUCUACAAUGGUCGGAAGACUGAUAGUGCGACGCCGCGUGAACGAUGAAUCCCUUCGGGGUGUAAGUUCUUUUAUAUGUGAGCAGUGCUUCUUAUAUUAACAGUAUGGGGAGAGAGAUAUUAGCAUAUGAAUAAGCAACGGCUAACUCCGUGCCAGCAGCCGCGGU
rnacentral:rRNA from 1 species